ACUCAAAGGAAUUGACGGGGGCCCGCACAAGCAGAGGAGCAUGUGGUUUAAUUCGAUGAUACGCGAGGAACCUUACCAGGGCUUGAAAGUUAGGGAAUAUCUCUGAAAGGAGAUAGUCAGCAAUGACCCGAAACUAGGUGCUGCAUGGCUGUCGUCAGCUCGUGCCGUGAGGUGUUAGGUUAAGUCCUGCAACGAGCGCAACCCCUACUAUUAGUUGCCAUCAGGUAAUGCUGGGGACUCUAAUAGAACUGCCCGCGCAAGCGGUGAGGAAGGUGGGGAUGACGUCAAGUCAGCACGGCCCUUACGUCCUGGGCUACACACGUGCUACAAUGGUAGAUACAACGGGUUGCUACGUGGCAACACGAUGCUAAUCUCUAAAAUCUAUCUCAGUUCGGAUUGGAGUCUGCAACCCGACUCCAUGAAGCUGGAUUUGCUAGUAAUCGCGCAUCAGCCAUGGCGCGGUGAAUACGUUCCCGGGCCUUGUACACACCGCCCGU
rnacentral:rRNA from 1 species